UGAAGCUCUUUGGUAUUUAAGAGUGUUGUGAGGCACUGGGAGAACAAAGGUCACUUCUGGGGAAAGUUUAGAAUUUCUGGAGGACCAGCAUAUAACACAUCAGGCAUUACUUUAAAAGGUGGUGAACAAUGCAAGCCAAAGGUGUGUGGUAGGAAUGGAGAUUGUUUUUUAACUACUUUCUCUCUCUCUUCCUUUCCAUACUGCAUGGGAAAUACAUUCAUGCUUCAAGAUUUCAUUUAGAUUGUUGAAGUCCAACCAGUUUAGUUGUUUUGGGUCAAAAGCCUGAGUCUGAAUUUUUUGCCUGCUGAUUAAAGAGACAGAACCCCUAAACUGGAGGGAUGAUAGCAGGUGACUGAACCAAACAGUGUGGUGAUUAGACAUCAGCACCUGAGGACAGGACAGCACCUAAGGACUGAGGGAAUGAAAUCAUCUUUUAAGAUCUUGUUAUGAGAAAGGUAGAGUUGGUGGGAGAAAGUGUCUUAGCACUGAGCACGCAAAAUUUGUUCUCACAUGCCCAUGUAGCACUGAACAAUUUCUGCAGAAGGAAGCUGGUUAGUUUGACCUAAGAAUGGUCUAGAGAAAUUUACGGCUAAAAACCAAGUUCACUUUCUUUUUUGCCUAAAUCUCAAUCUAAAAGCUUUCUAACAAGCCCAUGAACAAAUAAACAUAUAAGGAUCAAUGUCAAACCCACAGGCCUUAGAGGAAAGUGUAGCUGUAUUGGUGAAAUGACGAUGCAACCAUUUCCAGGGGUAUCAAAUACCAAUUCUGUGAUCUCACAUACCAUGUAGGGCUUCCAACUUGGUCCAGUUGGGAUAGCAAGUCCUCACUGAGCCACUGAACUGCUCUAGGUCUAUGCAAGCAGUCCAGUGUGUGGCCUGCCUUGCGUGUAGAGCCAGGGUGUUCUGGGGCUUGUGAUGUAAUCGUAGAGAUAGAGAUGGCAUGAGGGAGGCCUGGAAAGUACCCCGGCAUCAUCCCGUUUAUUAGACCUUUUAGAGAAAGGCCUGCUUUUGCCAUUUCCCCCUUUCUUCUAGUUUACAAAAUCACAUUUUAUCAAAGAUGUGGGAGCCCUGCUCUAUUCUGACCUCCCUAGAUCUUCUGCAGUCUGGAGGAUCCUGGGGCAGGGGAGCCUGAUCUCUUCUUCUGGUGGAGUUCCAGACUUCAGGGACUUGAUUGCAUCUGGCCUCCUGCCUGAUUCAAAUCGAACCUAACCUGAUGUCUUUCAGGUGGGGGCACAUAUGUUAAUGCUUAUUUCCAUGGUUGACUUAAAUACCAUACUGCUUCAUUUUGGUUAGAAAAGCAUUUAUCUAAAUCAGCAUUUAGAAACAGGAAAGUCUGGGAAUAUUGGCAGAUAGAUGUUGGCAGACGGGUAGGUACAGCAGACCCUAACCUACUAAUGAGCCUUGGUCCCAAAUAUGUCUCCCUUCCUCCAUAUCCGUAAGUUCAUAUUGCUUGGGUAUUUGUUUUCCAUAACAGCAGCUUGACUGGAAAGGCAUAAACCUAAGCCUUUGAGUUACAUAGACUAAUUUGACAUCUGCAAGCAAAAAAUAAUACAGAAUUAAAUAUGUUCAGGUAUACACCAGAUGCAAAGGAAAGCAGGAGGGGCAUAUAUGAACGUAACUUGGGUCUGAAAAACACCAAAGCCACCUACACACUAACAUGAAAAUGAGAGUUAAAAAAUGUGAAAAUAUAGUGCAUCGAAGUGGCUCAUUGUGUAAAGCAUAGUGAAAUAUGACAGAGAAGAAUGAGAAAAUAAGAUGAGUACAGUUAGGAAGGUUCAAGGAUGUAUUAAUAUUUGAACUACAAAGAAUGUUUGCAGAUAAAAUGAUGCUUGUUGGGGUAAAAUUCUGACCCUAAGCAGGGAAGGUUAAAGACUUUACUUUCUUCCCUGGUAUUUAUUCCCUUUUAUGAUGGUUUCCUCUCUGUCUUGUUACUAUACACGACAUAGGCCAAUGUUAAAUGUAAAAUUUAACUGCAGAAACAGCAGCUAUGAAAGGAAAAGGGAUACACAGAAAUACAUUCUGAAAAUUUACUUUAAAUUUUUGAAAAAGAAACACAAAACAAAAUUUCAUCAAACCAAAUUUCCUAGAGAGAAGAGAGAGUUACGGUAAAGCCGUGUCUUGAAACUUCCCAAAUAAAUAAUUUAACAUGACAAAGAAGCCAAGAAUCCUGCAUUUCUCAAUUUGUUCAGUUUCUAUAUAUUAGCUGUAAAUUGUAAACAAUUUCUCAUAUUGAAUCUUUGUUAAAAGUUUCCUCAGUAAACCCCUACACAUAAACGGAGCCACAUCAUCAGAGGUAGCAGAAUUGUAUCGGAUGGGAUUUACACAAGAAAAGUCAAAAGCACUUGAAAAGCAAGUCUGUGGAAGAUUCUGGAAAAAUACAAAUGUGUUCUAUACUUAGCAAUGUACAGAAGGAAAAAUGGUGCUCAAAUGCUAAAGGAAGUAUGAUUUCUAGCAACAUCCUAACCUACUUUAUGCCAAAAUAUAAGACCAUACUAUUAUAAGCACUCUAGUCAGCAUCUCCACUUCAGCAUUUACUUGGACUUCUCAGGCUCAGGCAAAUGUGGGCAUGGCUGGCAAACUGGUGGAUUGGGUGUGAAAGCCUAUUAGGAAGGAGAACAGCCAUUACUCACUGCUGUUCACAUACCUCCAGGUAUGUCUGGGAGCUGGAGUAGACUCAUCUGGAUAUGUUUACAGAGGGCAGAAAACCCACGCUGAGGAGGAAGGAAGCAGCAGGGCUUAUCACUGAAAGUGACCAGGAAUCCUGGAAAGAAGCCUUGUGGUAAUGCUUAUCCAAACCCAUCCUCAUCCCAGCCCCUCGGUGCAAGCCUGGUCCUAAGGAGAGAAAGAACACCAAGGAAAAACAAGAAGAGUAACCUUGAAAAUAUGACACUAAGUGAAAGAAGCCAGACAGCCUUGGCCACAUUUCAUUCAUAUGAAAUGUCCAGAAUAAGUGAGUCCAUAGAGACAGAAGGCAGAGGAGUGGAUGCCAGGCUCUGAAGGUGGAAGGGAUGGGGAGGAGAUGCCAGUGGGUGUGAGUUUCCUUUUAAGGUGAAGAAAUAAUUCUGAAACUAGACAGUGGAAAUGGUUGGACAAAACUGAAAAUAUACUUAAUGUCACUGAAUCAUACAUUUAGUUAAUAGUUAAAAUAGAUUUAAUAAAGUGUUAAAUAGUUAAAGUGGCAAGUUGUAUGUUAUGUGUAUUGUACUACAAGAAAAGAGCUGUUUGUCUAUAUUCACACACUGGGGACCAAGUUACAUUGCCCUGGGAAGCCAAAGGGCAAGAGCAUACUUCUCCUUUGCUCUUCAUGGCUUUAUGGUCCUGAGGGGUCAGGGCAGCCACCAGCAAGGGCUGUCCUGUUGGAGCCACAGGAGAGCCUUGGCCAGGAUGCCGGCACAGGGAGAAACACAUUGUGCCUACUGGAAAGGCACAGGAUUGGCAGGGCAGGGCGUUGGGAACUGUGGACUCAUUUUCAGGUGCACACAAGACCCCACCCCAAUGGCUUCGAGAAAUGCUGGGGAAGACUUGGAAGCUGGACACUGAGCAGGCACAGAACAGCCAAGGAAAUUUCGGUUAAAAGGUUUGACCACAGAAGACUGCUCACAUGCAGAAAGAUGCGCUCCGUGGCUGUGCUUGUGAGAAGAGGUGGCUCAGGUAUCUCAUUAUUGAGCCUAAAUUGAAGGGUCUGCUUGUUCGGCUCCUGGGAAAGUGUACAGUUGUACCUCAGUCCUACUGCAGGCAAAUCAUUUGUUUAAAGCCUGCUGAUGAGAAAUGUAAAUGUGUGUUUCAAAGAUAAAGAUGCUAAUUUGAGUAUGAGCCACGAGUUAUUAUAAGGAACAGAGAAACAUGGCUGUUAUUAUAAGCAACAGAGUGGUUGCAGGAAGGGAGGUGAGAGGUAUGAAUGGAAGGGAGGUGGAGAAGGGCCAUGGUACAUGUUAUUCAUACCACUAGUUUACCUUGAUGGUAAGAAAAUGCCUCCUCCAUGCUUAGACAUAGGGCGGCAGCAGCUCUGUGCUCAGGCUUGGUGCCAGUUUAAGGAAAGUAACUAGGCAUCAGUUUACCUUGUCCACAGAACUCUGUGACAUAUUGUCUCUAGAGUAUCUCCGGGGUGGCAUCUAAGAUUUCCCCAGCUGGAUUUGUCCCUAACUGGGGGAAGCAACUCCCAGAUCAGCCCCAGUUGUAAAGAAUCAAUGGGCCCAUGGAAAAACCUGUGUUCCCUGAUGUAGCCUUUGCCUCCCUAACUCUGUAUUUAUUGUGUGCUUUUGCUCCCCACUAAGAUCUCUAGAAGAAGAAAAAACAGGAAUCUUGAACAUCCCAAAAGGAGGAAUCUGAAUUAGUAAAUGGAACAUCCACACAUGCCCAUUAGGGAGAAAAAGAGAGUGAGAGAUGUUGUAAGUGAACUAAACCCUCAUACUCCAUAGCAGGAAAUGAACAGAUGAUAUAUCAAGUUAAUAAAAGACAGAGAUAAACUGGAAGUCUUUGGAAAUACGGAGAGUGGGGAGUCUCACUAUGUUGCCCAGCCUGGCCUUGAUCUCCUGGACUCAAGCAAUCCUCUCAGAGUAGCUGGGACUACAGGCAUAUACCACCAUACCUAGUUUGCCUAUUGAUAUUCUUCUUUACCCCUAAGAAGAUUGUAUGUGUUAAUCCAUAUGUCAAGCUUAUCCAGUGUGAUGAAACUGGCGAAUUCACACUGAAGAGAAACUUUGAAGAGUUUGGCAGAGGAUUGGUGAAGAACAUGGCAGAAACAAUGGGACUCUCCUUGGAUAACGGUUCUUUGUGCUUUGCAAAUUCUCCAAUACGUGGAUAACCAAGUGGUUGUUGUUGUUUUUCUAGAAGUCUGAGAUUCACUGUCUAUGCCUCACUGUCUUCUUGAAACCAAAUGAGUUUAAGGACAGAAUAUACAUUUGGGUGAGAUAGGAAGCAGCUCAAAAAAGUGCUCACAUUCAAUCCCAUUAUUUUUCCUCCAUUAAUGUGAAAAAGACCUAUUUACAUCUUUGAUGACUUCUUAGAAGGCCAAUCCACCUUGGAGGUUAAAAGGUUUAAAAUUAGAGCUAACAUUUAUUGAGCAUGGGUUUUCCAGGGAUAUUUUUACUUUUAUAAAAAUUAAGGUAGAAGAGAACCCAUAAGCCAUAUUCACUAAAAAUUAUGCUACCGGUAUGGGGUAAGGGAGAAGUAUGCUCAGUUUAUAUUCCUGUGUUAAUAAAAUAAUUCCUUAAAUUCAGCAAAGCAAGAUGCACCCCGGCUUUCA
rnacentral:lncRNA from 10 species